UUUGAAUGCGUGGAAACGUACUUAUUUCAUCAAAAAUGCCAGCUGGCGUUGUUUACGGGUAUACUACACAAUCCGAUCGUAAUCUAAACUUUAAAGAAAUCACAUCUCAUAUCUGAUGAUGCUGUUACAGAGAAACAUAUUGUAUGGAACUAUAAUGAAAAGUUGCGACUAACAGAAGAGUAUUUAUUUAUUUGAUGAUAUCUUAAGAUAAGCAACAACUGAAUCCACUGACAACAUGUUUCAUAGUGGUUUCCACUAUAAACAAUGUGACAUUGCAUAUAAAUUGGCAUUGUUCACUGAUUUGUUGCCAUGGAAGUUGUCAGAUGGAUAUGGACCAAGAAAUGGAGAAAGAAACCAACAAGAGAGAGGCAGAUCUCAGUGCUGCAAGAGUGUCAAUAAAUUUCAAGUGGAAACAUUGAAGUAACACAAACAACUGAUUAGAAGGACCUUCACGUGAAUAACCAUCAUUCCAUGCAACAAUAAGAAAAUCAACUGCAAGCUACCAUUGUCUUAGCUCAUAAGUAAAAUGUCUGUUGUUUGGGUAAAUACUUCUCAUG